UACAGAGGGUGCGAGCGUUGUCCGGAAUUACUGGGCUUAAAGAGCGCGCAGGCGGUCGUUCAAGUCGCGUGUGAAAGCCCCCGGCCACAUGGGGAGGGUCACGCGAUACUGAUCGACUCGAAGGCAGGAGAGGGUAGUGGAAUUCCUGGUGUAGCGGUGAAAUGCGUAGAUAUCAGGAGGAACACCGGUGGUGUAGACGGCUUUCUGGACCGUAACUGACGCUGAGACACGAAAGCGUGGGUAGCAAACAGG
rnacentral:rRNA from 1 species